GACGAACGCUGGCGGCGUGCUUAACACAUGCAAGUCGAACGGAAAGGCCCUGCUUUUGUGGGGUGCUCGAGUGGCGAACGGGUGAGUAACACGUGAGUAACCUGCCCUGGACUUUGGGAUAACUGCAGGAAACUGGGGCUAAUACCGGAUAGGAUCUCCUGCUGCAUGGUGGGGGUUGGAAAGUUUCGGCGGUUGGGGAUGGACUCGCGGCUUAUCAGCUUGUUGGUGGGGUAGUGGCUUACCAAGGCUUUGACGGGUAGCCGGCCUGAGAGGGUGACCGGCAAAAUUGGGAAUGAGCUCAGGCCCAGAAUCCUCAGGGGGGCAGCAGUGGGGAAUAUUGAAACAUGGGCGGCAGACUGAUGCAGCAACGCCGCGUGCGGGAUGAAGGCCUUCGGGUUGUAAACCGCUUUCGCCUGUGACGAAGCGUGAAUGACGGUAAUGGGUAAAGCAGCACCGGCUAGCUACGUG
rnacentral:rRNA from 1 species